rnacentral:misc_RNA from 1 species
GUACCCUCAAGCUCUGCUUGGUGUUGGGUGUUUGUCCUUGCCACUGCGUUUGGACUCACCUCAAAGCAAUUGGCAGCCAGUGUAUUGGUUUUAAGCGCAGCACAUUUUGCGUCUUACUCCCUGUAACACUUGCGUCCAUCAAGCCUUUUUAUCAC